rnacentral:tRNA from 2 species
GACGCCGAAGCCAAACGGUCCGGCGGCUGUCUGCAAAACAGCUUCUCGUGGGUUCGACUCCCACCGGCGUUUCCU